UGGGGAAUAUUGCACAAUGGGCGAAAGCCUGAUGCAGCAACGCCGCGUGAGUGAUGAAGGCCUUCGGGUUGUAAAGCUCUGUCUUCUGGGACGAUAAUGACGGUACCAGAGGAGGAAGCCACGGCUAACUACGUGCCAGCAGCCGCGGUAAUACGUAGGUGGCAAGCGUUGUCCGGAUUUACUGGGCGUAAAGGAUGCGUAGGCGGAUACUUAAGUCAGAUGUGAAAAUCCCGGGCUUAACUUGGGAACUGCAUUUGUGACUGCAAGGCUGGAGUACGGCAGAGGGGGGUGGAAUUCCACGUGUAGCAGUGAAAUGCGUAGAGAUGUGGAGGAACACCGAUGGCGAAGGCAGCCCCCUGGGCCUGUACUGACGCUCAUGCACGAAAGCGUGGGGAGCAAACA
rnacentral:rRNA from 1 species